GGGGGUGCACUGGCUUCGACGGGGGUCGCGAAAUCGCCUGGUGCAUGCCGAGGGGGCAGCUUUCCUCGUUAAUCCAGCGGCAAACACUUAGUUGCCAACGACGACAACUACGCUCUCGCCGCUUAAGGCGUAAGCCCCGAACCCACUUGUGCCCGUACUCGUGGAUGUAGGGUCAUCAUUACGGGAACCAGCCGCGGCGGCCGCCUGUCUGCCGUGGUUGAACUCACAGGCUGGUUCCCUGGCGCGCUUCGCACGCCGUGCUGCCAGGGGACGAGAUCCAACGGCGGGCUAAGCAUGUAGGACCGGGGAUGGAGUGCCUUCGGACGCGGGUUCGAUUCCCGCCACCUCCACCA
rnacentral:tmRNA from 1 species